UCUUCUCUAGGCUAAUGGUUAAGUCGUCUGGCUGUUGACCAGAAAAUUGUGUGUUCGAAUCACACGGGAAGAG